rnacentral:ncRNA from 1 species
AAUAAUACGAAGAAGCAAAGCAAGUAGUUAUAGAUUAAAUUCUUUACAGAGAUAAAAUAAAUAGCUGAGAUUAUUUUAAUGAAUACUAUAAUGAAUUUCAUUUGUGGAGUAUAAACGGGGUAAUUCCCUUAUCAAUUUAAAGUGUAUGAAUAAAGUUCAUGAACUAAGGUGGUACCGCGGGAAAUCUCGUCCUUAAU